rnacentral:lncRNA from 1 species
UAUGCCAUGCAUCAUAGUACAUACAAAAAAUUUGCAUUAGUCAUUAUUACACCGAGUAUCAUAUCAUGGAUGUAUAAUAAUAUAGUAAUAUAGGUAUGAGUACCUCUGCAAGGAUAUAGAGGGUAGGGUUAAUACAGGGUUGAUUUGACAGAGAGAUAUUUUUUAGCAAAAAUCUUGGAGAAGGGCCAUUUGGCUGCUCGAAGAGGGUGAGAGAAGCCUGAUUUUGGGGGGGGCAUGCUAGAUGGAGAGCACCAUCUACCCAGGGAGUUGCCAUCGGAGAAGCUACCAUGUCGGUGAGCAGGUCACGGAGUUGGCUACGAUCAGCUGAUCCGAACCAAAAUUUUAAUUCUGAAUCCCCUAAGUCCCCCAAAUCAUUAUUGAGUGAAGAUGACUGAUCGAGGAAAGGAUUGUAGGGGAUGGAGAAGCUAACCACAAGC